CCUACGGGAGGCAGCAGUGGGGAAUAUUGCACAAUGGGCGCAAGCCUGAUGCAGCCAUGCCGCGUGUAUGAAGAAGGCCUUCGGUUUGUAAAGUACUUUCAGCGAGGAGGAAGGCAUUAAGGUUAAUAACCUUGGUGAUUGACGUUACUCGCAGAAGAAGCACCGGCUAACUCCGUGCCAGCAGCCGCGGUAAUACGGAGGGUGCAAGCGUUAAUCGGAAUUACUGGGCGUAAAGCGCACGCAGGCGGUCUGUCAAGUCGGAUGUGAAAUCCCCGGGCUCAACCUGGGAACUGCAUUCGAAACUGACAGGCUAGAGUCUUGUAGAGGGGGGUAGAAUUCCAGGUGUAGCGGUGAAAUGCGUAGAGAUCUGGAGGAAUACCGGUGGCGAAGGCGGCCCCCUGGACAAAGACUGACGCUCAGGUGCGAAAGCGUGGGGAGCAGACAGGAUUAGAUACCCUGGUAGUCCACGCCGUAAACGAUGUCUAUUUGGAGGUUGUGUCCUUGAGACGUGGCUUCCGGAGCUAACGCGUUAAAUAGACCGCCUGGGGAGUGCGGCCGCAAGGUUAAAACUCAAAUGAAUUGAAUUGACGG
rnacentral:rRNA from 1 species